GCCCGUGUGGCGGAAUGGUAGACGCUGCAGACUUAAAAUCUGUUGUUCAAAUUGAACGUGUGGGUUCGAGUCCCUCCACGGGCACCA
rnacentral:tRNA from 1 species